rnacentral:rRNA from 1 species
UGAAUACGAGACGCUAAGGCGUCGAAGUAGUGUAUGUCAUACUUCCAAGAAAAGCUUGCACUGUCAUAGAUAAAAAACGCCUGUACCAUAACCGACACAGGUGGGUAGGUAGAGUAUACUAAGGGGCGCGAGAUAACUCUCUCUAAGGAACUCGGCAAAAUAACUCCGUAACUUCGGGAGAAGGAGUGCCUUAUUCGUAAGGUUGCAAUAACAAGAUCCAAGCAACUGUUUAUCAAAAACACAGGUCUCCGCUAAGUCGUAAGACGAUGUAUGGGGGCUGACGCCUGCCCAGUGCCAGAAGGUUAAAGAAGUUGGUUAGCAAUUGCGAAGCUGAUAACUGAAGCCCUGGUGAACGGCGGCCGUAACUAUAACGGUCCUAAGGUAGCGAAAUUCCUUGUCGGGUAAGUUCCGACCCGCACGAAAGGCGUAAUGAUUUGGAUACUGUCUCGGAGAGGGGCUCGGUGAAAUAGACUUGUCUGUGAAGAUGCGGACUACCUGCACCAGGACAGAAAGACCCUAUGAAGCUUUACUGUAACUUGAAAUUGAAAUUGGACUUUAUUCGCGCAGUAUAGGUGGGAGGCGUUGAUUAUAAUCUUGUGGGAUUAUUGGAGCCAUCAGUGAGAUACCACCCUUGUAAUGUUAGAUUUCUAACUUUGAACCAUUAUCUGGUCAAAGAACAGUUUCAGGCGGGCAGUUUGACUGGGGCGGUCGCCUCCUAAACGGUAACGGAGGCGUACAAAGGUUUCCUCUGAACGGUUAGAAAUCGUAUCUAGAGUGUAAAGGCAUAAGGAAGCUUGACUGUGAGACCUACAAGUCGAGCAGGGACGAAAGUCGGUCUUAGUGAUCUGACGGUACUGAGUGGAAAGGCCGACACUCAACGGAUAAAAGUUACUCUAAGGAUAACAGGCUGAUCUCCCCCAAGAGUUCACAUCGACGGGGAGGUUUGGCACCUCGAUGUCGGCUCAUCGCAUCCUGGGGCGGUAGUACGUCCCAAGGGUUGGGCUGUUCGCCCAUGAAAGCGGUACGCGAGCUGGGUUCAGAACGUCGUGAGACAGUUCGGUCCAUAUCCGGUGUAGGCGUUAGAAUAUUGAGAGGAGCCUUCUUUAGUACGAGAGGACCGAGAAGGACAUACCUCUGGUGUACCAGUUAUCGUGCCAACGGUAAACGCUGGGUAGCUAUGUAUGGAGUGGAUAACCGCUGAAAGCAUCUAAGUGGGAAGCCCACCUCAAGAUAAG